GUAUUAUUUCGAUGUCUGGCGUUAGGAGAAUAAGACAAACGUGGAUCCCUGAUGUAGACAUAUUAAGUGGAAGGCAUUAAGAGUGCUUCAGAAUCAGUGACCUGUGAAUGGCUCUGUUUACCUGCAAGCCUCCACUCCGUACCUGUGGGCCAGUCGUGAGAAAUCCCCUAGUUACCACCCGAGCUGGAACGAACAAGGAUUGGGCCCAGACUAGGAAGGAGCCUAGUCUGUGAAAGAAGCUUAUUGGCAGGCUCUCUGGAGGAGGUUAAACAGCGGCAACUAAAGCUAGACAUUUUAAAAUCAGCAUGUCCCAAAAACUUGCAUCCAAGGGUUUUAAAAGAGCUGGCCGAGGAGCUCGCUGGACCAUUGAUUUUCAAUAAAUCUUGAAACCCUGGGGAAGUUUCA